UGUUCCGAGUCUUAAUUUUGAGGUAGAGAGAAAUCUCGCGUCUCGCGUCACUUUUGGUUCGGAGAUUGACGAGUGGUGUGUGGCCAGUUUAGGUCAAGUUUGGAAUUUAGACCUCGUUUUUAUUUUAAAAUAUGUGAAUUUGGAAGUAUAUAUCACCAAAUGUAAUCUGGAGUAUUUGGGAAGAAAUGAGUAAUCCAUACAAUGGGGUUUUCUGCAUAAAAUCAUCGCCACAUGUCACUCAUGGGAAAACUUAAAAACACCUCAAAACACCGAGAGGCCAAUCUCCAACCAUAAGUCACUAUGGGAAUAUGUCAAUUUGGGAACAAGCUAUUGGAGCGUUCCAGCUCAAUUUUCGUCUUGGCACCUGGGCCUACAGGAGGCAUGGGAUCCUGGUGCUGAUUUUCGGGGAUGUAACCGCAGCCUCUUUAGGAGUCGUUUGGGUUUGUUUUGGGAACAUUUAGUGUUGUGCCUUGAGUAACUAUUAUAAUUCAUAUCACAGACAUUUGGUUAAUGCAUUAUGUUUAUUAAUUAUUUUUCUUAAGAUUUAGCUUGCAUUUAUUUGGUUUUUGAUAUAGGUACAUAUAUUAUAGGUUUGGUAAGUUCCCAAACAUGUAUAAUUUUGCAGUAUUGUACGUUGUGCUCGGCGUAUUUGCCAAAAAAAGGUAUUACUUUUGACAUAUUAUUGUUUAUUUAGGUCGAUUUCAUGUCAUUAUAUAAAUUUGGUUGUAUUAGUUGCUUGUUUCCCAGAUACUUUAUUGUUUAUUCGCUUUAUUCCAUUUGUUCGGUUAAUUCAGUCUUCAUUUAGGUAUUUAUCUUAACUUCAUUUCUAAAACUUUCAUUCAUUUGUAUAUUUAAUUUUGCUUAAUUCAUUGUAUUGUAUUUUUACUUAGUCAUAGUCAGGCUUGUGCCUGCUGUUUUAUAUUAUUAGUCAUAUUUUUCGGGUUUUAAUUUAGUUGUACGUAGCAAGCGUACUACAACCAUUUGGUGAAGGUAGUCUCAUGUGAGUUGUACCCUAUAUAUAAGUAACAGGUAUAUAAUUUUGUAAUAUAUAACAUGACUGUUGUUAUAUUAGAUAUGCAUAAUAGUAUAAACCAUAACUUUUGUCUUUUAGAGUCACAUAAUAUGCAUUUGGUUUAACUCCGAGAUUGUUAAAGAUCUAGUAGUUAUUUUUAAUAAAUAUUUAUUUAUUUU